rnacentral:misc_RNA from 1 species
AACCAUAGAAACCUGCGGAGUACCUGCGGAGGGAUCAUUACCGAGUUUCCAAAACUCCCAACCCAUGUGAACUUUACCUAUCGUUGCCUCGGCGGGAAGCCCCGGCGCCCACACCCGGGCCCGGACCCAGGCGCCCGCCGCAGGACCCCUCAACUCGUGUCUCUCUGGAGCAUCGUCUGAGUGAGAAAACAAAUAAAUCAAAACUUUCAACAACGGAUCU